UGCUUCUAAAUAUGCAUAAGUUUCAGUGUCAGUUCACCGCCUUCGGUCCCGCCCGCUCUUUUACAUCUGAAUGGCGCGUUAAUUUCCCCUGGUGAGUUAAUUGGUGGACCCCCGGGAUUUUUUCCAAGCCAAUGGCCUCCAGCAAACAAAGGACAAGCCAAGACUUAGUCAAGAUUUUUGUGCUGUUCUAUGACCCAAAGGAAGGGAAGUUAUGGCCGCAGAAUGACUGGAUAUGGAUUUUUAGACGAUGGUGAAGUAAGCAGGGACCAUAGGAGUGUUUGGUGGAGUUGGAAUGUCAGUGUUCAGCAUGGUGCUGCUGCUACUGGCUGGAGUGGAGAUGCAGCUGCUACUGGCUGGAGUGGAG